UCACGAGUGAGGGAAGAAUGGAACGGGAGAUCGACAGGCGGAUCGGUGCAGCACCUGCAGUGAUGCGGACUUUGUAUCGGUCCGUUGUGGUAAAGAAGGAGCUAAGGCGAAGCUCUCAAUUUACCGGUCGAUUUACGUUCCUACCCUAACCGCCACUCAACUCCAUAUUGUUUUUUUUUUUUAAUACUACCAUUAAUGGAAUAGAGAAAAAUCUACAGAAGACAAAAUAUUAACUUGUAAGAUAUGUAAUCGUGUUAUUUUGUGUGAAAGAGUUACGAACAGCAAUAUUUUAUUAUAUGGCAUUACUAUACUUGCAAACAGCACAAAACCUAUUUUUUAGCUUUGGACCCCUCUGCAUGUUUUAUUGCUCUUGGAAUGUCUUAUUUUUGCAGUACGCAAGCGCAGUGUCAAGAGGGUCAAAUAGCAGGCAACAGGCCUAUACACCACAAAAUGUGGAGGGGGUUUGUCUUGCUGCAUGUUUCAUGAGCAGAGGUGGGUAGUAACGUGUUACAUUUACUCAGUUACAUUUAUACAAGUAACAUCCAUCCAUUUUCAACGCCGCUUAUCCAGGUUAGGGUCGCGUGGCGUUGGAGCCUAUCCCACCUGACUUCGGGCAAAAGGCGGAUUAUAGCCCGAAUAGUCGCAAAGGACAUAUAGACAUGGACAACCAUUCGCACUCACAUUUACACCGUCACUGAGUGGGAACUGAACCCACGCUGCCCGCACCAAAGUCAGCCGAGUGUACCACUACAUACUCAAGUCACAUUUUGGAUAAAUUGUACUUGUCAGUAGUCUGAAUGCACCAUACAUUUUAUUUUACCUGAGUGUUUAUGUUAAGAAGAAUCAAUACUUUUACACCGUUACAAUGGCCGACAUGCCGCUCGCUACUUUUUAUUUAUCCAUUAUUGCGUGCACGAUCUUCGACUUGCGCUUAAGGCGCCAUUGCGCCAGUCUAACGUUGUCACUAGUGUCAUUUGACUUCAAUUCACCAAUCAGAUGGCACAGGGCAGUCACAUGACUGCACACAAAGCCUUCACGGGCCAAUCAAAAUGACUUAUUUUGGUUAAAAAAAACUGCCGCGCGAUUGUUUACACUCUGAAAAAAAACAGCUUUAUGAUGCAGUGUAGUCUUGCAUCUGCCCAAAUGUGGAUAGGUACAGUAAUGUGAAAAAGUAUAGGGAUAGGUUCCAGCGGCCCGCAACCCUAGUGAGGAUAAGCGGUAAAGAAAAUGGAUGGACGUAUGGAUGGCAGUCUUCAACGAUUUCCAGGCCAAGGACCCCCAAACUGAUGGAAAGCUGGAACGGGGACCCCCUACAUACUACAGGGGCGCAUCAAGUUCCCACAUGGAGCAUAUUAGGAAGCACAGCUACAAGUCACGCUGAGUCAUCGCUCCCAUGAUGCUUCAAGAGACCACGCACACAUCAACCCAGGCAGGCUGUGAUUGGUCCGUGGCUUCACAAGAGAAAUCGGUGUUUCCUCA